rnacentral:lncRNA from 1 species
AGCAUACCCCUUAGACAUCGAUUCUAAUUGAACCGAGGCAUAUAGUUUCACAAAAACUACGAAAUUACCACCGUAUUUUAACACGUUUCGGUUUUUUUGAAACUAAAGCGUAAUGUGCGAGUUAAAAAACUAUUUAUUUAUUAGUGCAUCCGUUAGUAAUUAUCGAUAGAUUCUGAUCGUCAAUAACGUUCAUUGUAAAAAAUGUGAUUGAAUCUCCUUCUUCCUCCUCUUCAUCUUUUUUCUUUUCUUUUUUUAUCUUCUUCCUCCUAUCCUCCUCGUAAAGCCAUCGUUGUUGACGCCACCAUCGUCACCUCCAAUUCAUUCUCAUCCUCUUUCUCUACCUUUUCUAACUCUUGCAAUCGCUAUCUACCUUCUUGUCACCAACGUUCUUUCACAUCAUCAAUGUUUCUUACGUCACCAGCGUGCCUCCGUGUCACUAUCGAGCCACCGUCAUGCCACCCCUUUUUCCUCCUUCUCCACCUCAUACUCCUCCUUCUCUCUUCUUCUCAUUCUCUUCUUCUUUUCACUUAUCUUCUCUUAAAUACAAAAUACUUAAUCAUUCUAGAAAAAAUUUUGUCACCCA